UACCAAGGCGCUUGAGAGAACUCGGGUGAAGGAACUAGGCAAAAUGGUGCCGUAACUUCGGGAGAAGGCACGCUGAUAUGUAGGUGAGGUCCCUCGCGGAUGGAGCUGAAAUCAGUCGAAGAUACCAGCUGGCUGCAACUGUUUAUUAAAAACACAGCACUGUGCAAACACGAAAGUGGACGUAUACGGUGUGACGCCUGCCCGGUGCCGGAAGGUUAAUUGAUGGGGUUAGCGCAAGCGAAGCUCUUGAUCGAAGCCCCGGUAAACGGCGGCCGUAACUAUAACGGUCCUAAGGUAGCGAAAUUCCUUGUCGGGUAAGUUCCGACCUGCACGAAUGGCGUAAUGAUGGCCAGGCUGUCUCCACCCGAGACUCAGUGAAAUUGAACUCGCUGUGAAGAUGCAGUGUACCCGCGGCAAGACGGAAAGACCCCGUGAACCUUUACUAUAGCUUGACACUGAACAUUGAGCCUUGAUGUGUAGGAUAGGUGGGAGGCUUAGAAGUGUGGACGCCAGUCUGCAUGGAGCCGACCUUGAAAUACCACCCUUUAAUGUUUGAUGUUCUAACGUUGACCCGUAAUCCGGGUUGCGGACAGUGUCUGGUGGGUAGUUUGACUGGGGCGGUCUCCUCCUAAAGAGUAACGGAGGAGCACGAAGGUUGGCUAAUCCUGGUCGGACAUCAGGAGGUUAGUGCAAUGGCAUAAGCCAGCUUGACUGCGAGCGUGACGGCGCGAGCAGGUGCGAAAGCAGGUCAUAGUGAUCCGGUGGUUCUGAAUGGAAGGGCCAUCGCUCAACGGAUAAAAGGUACUCCGGGGAUAACAGGCUGAUACCGCCCAAGAGUUCAUAUCGACGGCGGUGUUUGGCACCUCGAUGUCGGCUCAUCACAUCCUGGGGCUGAAGUAGGUCCCAAGGGUAUGGCUGUUCGCCAUUUAAAGUGGUACGCGAGCUGGGUUUAGAACGUCGUGAGACAGUUCGGUCCCUAUCUGCCGUGGGCGCUGGAGAACUGAGGGGGGCUGCUCCUAGUACGAGAGGACCGGAGUGGACGCAUCACUGGUGUUCGGGUUGUCAUGCCAAUGGCACUGCCCGGUAGCUAAAUGCGGAAGAGAUAAGUGCUGAAAGCAUCUAAGCACGAAACUUGCC
rnacentral:rRNA from 1 species